GUCAAAUAACAGGCAUCGCUAGACGCGUCCCGAGGAACGGCGCUGUCCCUGACCCAAUACCCCAAGCUCUGUUUCGUUUCCCCUCCGGAAAGUUGCUGGCAACGGAAAGCAAGCAAGCAAGGUACAUGCCUCCCCUGCUGACAAGCACUUUCUACAACCAGCCAAAUCUUCUCAAUCGCUCAACCAAUGAUACAACCCUGCAUGCGCAAACGAGACGGAGCAGCCGUUCCCUGCAAUUCGUUUACUUGCCGAGGCACGUCAGCCAACCGCUAAAAUGUUCCUUGCUACGGAUCAAUCAACAACUUGAAACGUGAGAAAAUGUUGAAGAAGCUUAUGACAGUUCAAAAUUUGUUUCAGAAGCUGCUGCGCAUUGCAAUUUUUCUUUGCAAUUUCCUUUUGCGCACGGUGAUCUCCGUAAAACGGCCAGGGUUGAAGAUUGAACAACACAGAACGCACCACAAUGUGAAGGCAUUGUGCCCUGAGAGAUACCUAUGAGCGGAAAGAAUAACCCGAAUUCCCAAAAUAGUUGAUAUGCGAGGACGACAUAAAGUUAUAUUUUGCUUUUCAUGCAAAGAGGUCCUAAUUUGACUUGUAGGGGACAGAAAUAGUUUGUAGGAAAAAAAAAUAGUAAAUAAAAAGUAAAAUAAAAAUCCAGUAAUUUCGCUUCCAUUAUUGUUGCUGAGUGGCCCUCCAUCACAAAAGUGGUUGUAACAUGCGGGUAUGAGAAAAGGACAAAUAUCCUAUAUCAAAUAAAAAUGCCCCAGAAAGAGAUAUAACUAUUGGGAGAAAGUCAACGGGAAAAGAAUAGAAAGAAAAAAAAGCCCAAUUCGUUAUGUCCGUCUAAAAAGUCGUCAUUUAUGGAAAAUAAUCCAUCAAUCUUCACCAUUACUCGAAAGUUAUUUUAAAUCCACCAAGGCACCGGCGUUAGCUAUUAUGUCGUAUAUCGACGAGUGGUAACGAAAAAAAAAAAUCAUAUCUUGCAUGUGUCAAUAGAUUUUUCGGGGUAUCGGGAGUGCAACGAGUUGAGGGUGCGUGCUAGUAAGGCUUCGCGUAAGAGCCACGGCGUGAUGCGGAUGGGUCCCUGGAUUUCCAUAAAAUGGAAAUAAAAAAAGACUCAGCCGCAUGAUUCUGCCAUGUUUUGUGUGUAUGAAUGUGUUUUAUGUGAUUCUUAGCUUUGGGAUUUGUGCUGUGAAGGAGCAGUAGUGAUAGCUGGGCCGUGUGCAAGAUGGAGGAGGUAUGAUGGAUCAAGAUCAAGUCCAGCAGAGUUCGGGAAUGACCAACCCUCCUGACACGCUGAGAGUAGGAGACUCAUUAAAGUCUGGCCCCAUGACCGGUGAGCCAUUUAUUAGGUUUCCUAAGUACGCAGGAUUGAAAAUUGGCGAUUGAGAUUGUGGAUUGUGCUUAUAGUCGCCUCCAACCCGAUCAUCUGUGUGGUCAGGAUGGAGGGUUGGCGACGUGGUGUAAACUUGAGAUUGUCGCCGGGAGGUAAUGAUUGCUGGCAUUUGGUAGGGAGAAGCAACGAUCGCGGGAGUGAGCGGAGAGUGGAGUGGAGAUGUAGUGUAAGCUGAAUAGCCAGAGCUUGUCGAUGGAGACGUGGAUGACAGAUGAAGAUUCGGUGGCCCAGGAUAUGGACUGUGUGGCCCGGGGGAGUAAGCGUCGAAUGAGUUUCUCGGGGAAAAAUGAAGCCGGCUCCUAUAUUCCGCAACAAUAUCGCAGGGCAGUUCCAUUAAGCUUAGAGCCAGCUGAAUUUCGGGGGCAAAAGGUUGAGAGGCUUUCCUCGUUUGCAGAAUUCUUCGUAUAUCUUCUAUUGGAAGGAAAGCCAUGGUACCGAGGUAGGAACCUCCGAUUUCAGGGAAAAUAGGUUCUAGAGCCAAUGCUACCCCA
rnacentral:sRNA from 1 species